UACGAAGGGGGCUAGCGUUGCUCGGAAUGACUGGGCGUAAAGGGCGCGUAGGCGGUGAUCACAGUCAGGCGUGAAAUUCCUGGGCUUAACCUGGGGGCUGCGUUUGAUACGUGGUUGCUAGAGUGGGGAAGAGGGUCGGUGGAAUUCCCAGUGUAGAGGUGAAAUUCGUAGAUAUUGGGAAGAACACCGGGUGGCGAAGGCGGCGACCUGGUCCUUGACUGACGCUGAGGCGCGAAAGCGUGGGGAGCAAACAGG
rnacentral:rRNA from 1 species